CAGCAGCCACGGGAAUACGUAGGUGGCAAGCGUUGUCCGGAAUUAUUGGGCGUAAAGGGCUCGCAGGCGGUUUCUUAAGUCUGAUGUGAAAGCCCCCGGCUCAACCGGGGAGGGUCAUUGGAAACUGGGAAACUUGAGUGCAGAAGAGGAGAGUGGAAUUCCACGUGUAGCGGUGAAAUGCGUAGAGAUGUGGAGGAACACCAGUGGCGAAGGCGACUCUCUGGACUGUAACUGACGCUGAGGCGCGAAAGCGUGGGGAGCAAACAGGAUUAGAUACCCCCGUAGUCCCUGUCUCUUAUAC
rnacentral:rRNA from 1 species